UUCCCUGAAAACCUCUGAUGGAACCACUGCGUGGUGGCACAUGCCUGUGAUCCCAGCUACUCGGGAGGCUGAGACAGGAGAAUUGCUUGAACACGGGAGGCAGAGGUUGCAGUAAGCUGAGAUCGUACCAUUCCAGUCCAGCCUGGGCCGACACUGCACUCCAGCCUGGGCAACAAAGCGAGACUCUAUCUCAAAAAAAAAAAAGUUCAUAAAUUCAAAGUUAUGAAUUAUUUUUAAAAUAAUAAUAAUUUACAAUAAAGAUGAGGACAAAGUGUGAGUAAAUGGUGGUUUCUAUCCAGCUCUGUUGAGCUGAAGUGGCAUCUCCCUGCUGGGGCUUUUGGGGAAGAAGGGUGUGUGUUGCUCUUCAGAUCCCAAGCCUCAUGCCCCUACUGGGCCCUGUGGGGUGCUUCUCAGCCCACCAGGAGAG
rnacentral:lncRNA from 10 species